GAAUCUGCUGUCUAAGCAAUUGAUCUGCAGUCUGUACUGGCUCCUGUUGUUUCAUCCCAGGUGAUUAAUUAAUAUUGCCAAACAGCAAGGGACUCAAAAUGGAUUCCUUCUGGAUGUUGCUGGAAUGCUGUGCUCGUAGAGCAAUGUUACAACAUGUUGGCAAGUUUAUGCUUCCUUCCGCCUUCUUCCAUUAAAUUCAACAUGGCAUACAUGAACCCAAAGUAGCAUUUUGGAUGGUCAAGAGGCAAUACACUGAAGAGAUGCUAUACCUAAGAAAAGGAAAGCUUACAGCUAUUGACAAAAUCUGGGACUUCAAUCUUUCAUUCAGAAUAAACUAAUUCAAACUGCCUGAUAACGACCUCAUUAAAAAGCAGAGGUUGUGCUUUCAUGCUUUGUGAUAUGGAAACAAGGUGUCUGCUAAAAGGUCUCUUUAUAGGGAUUCAGUGACUAAUAUUUAAUUAUUGGAUUCAGAUGCAUCAUAAAAACCAUUAUUUUUUCAGUAAUAAGGUUAUUCAAUAAAAGGCUUACUCCUCAGAGACAAGAAAAAAAGUGUUGGAGGGAAAUCCCCCAGUGCCUUGUAUUCCUGUUGGAUACUCCCACUAGUUCCUGGUUCAUAAAUCUUCAUGUGUUGACCAUGAUCUCCGAGUGUGUUAUGGAAAUCUGACUAAAUCCUUUACAGAUAAUUCUGAUUUCCAAAGCACAUGAAAGAUAGCCUUGGUGUCCAAAAGAGUUGGUAUUUCCUUGCACUAAAUUAUCUUUGCCCUAAGUAUUUAAUAAUUUUCAUUUAAAUUAGAAUUCAAAAAUUUUUUUGAUAGUACUGCUUUAAGGGAGAGCCCAGCUCAGAUAUCUGCAAACUAAACAGAGGAAAGUAAGCAAACUGAAAGCUGUAGUCAUGUAACCUGAGUUCAGAGUAUAGGAUACUUCCUGUGGCAGCAUUAUGUCAUAAAUUUAUUUUUAGUCCUUAAACACAUACUUUCUCUAAUGGGAUCAGCAGUUCUCUCUUGGAUAGAAGAAGUAGUACGCUUUUUUGACAGCAGGGAUUCUAAGUGUGUCCAUACAUGUGUUUUAACAUCUGCUUUCCUUUUCCACUGACAUACUGUUCUGGGAUCUGUGGAUUACUCAGUAAUAGGAGCAGCACUGUGGAAACCAGUUGCUCUCCCUUUUGCACCCAUGGCUAAUGAAAUUCCUUGCAAUUCAUGAGAAUUUACUGAGCAGGUUUUGAAACAAUUUUCACAGGCAGGUGUAAGUGAAGCAUGUAGCACAAGGUAUUUGAUGUUGUCUUUGGAUAGUGAUAGGUUAGAUAAAAAUGGGGUGACAGUUUCCAGGAGGUUGGCCUACAGAGGCUCUCAGAGGACAUGGGAGGAUGUUGGAAUAUUUGUUGGAUCUAAUGAUUGUGUUGAUCUGUUAGGUAACUAACAUCUGCUGAGCAGUUCCUUCUUUUUGAAAUUGCUGGCUCUCCCUGGAGAAAAAAAAAAUAGUAGCUAAAAGAGACUGUAUCUGGAGCGCCUUAGGCAAAGCAUAACCCAGUGCUUCUGGGCAUAAGGCAACAAGAAUAAAACAAUACUGAUGGAAAAAUUGCAUCAGCAGGAGGGAGAUACAGUAGUUCUAAGCAAUGAAUUUCACAUCUCUAAUUUUAAUAAUAGGUCUCAUAUGAUCUGCUUGUUAGGAUCUAUUUAGUUUAGAAUUCAAGGAUACCCUCAACUCCUUCCUGUUUUUGGGGAGAAAAACAGUUUUAAUAUUAUGACUAGGUUGGUGUUUUACUUUUUUUUUUUUUAACCUGAAGGAAUUUGUAUUGCCAACCGAUUUUUUUUUUAUUAUUAUUAUUAUGAAGAACUGCUGCUGUGUAACAUGAUCUUUAGAAUCCAGUUUCUCAAGAAGCAGGGGUUCAGAACAGUACUGUUCCAUAAAUUAUAUGGAAUAAUUUGGGUUGGAGGAGACUCUCUGGUUACCUAAUAUGACAGCCUUCACUCAAAGCCAGCCAAAUUAAAAUACAUUGGACCUCUGAGUUAGAUCAGGUUGUUCAGUGUUGUCCAGUCAAGUUUUAAAUACACCCAAGAAAGGAAUUUCCACAACGUUUUUGGGUCACACUUGCUAAAGUUUGACCACUUUAUGGUGGAAUUUUUCAUUGCAUCUAAUUGGAAUAUGCUUUGUUGCAGUUUCAGUUGGGUUUUUGUCCCAUUGCUGUACAUGACUGAAAAGAAGAUAGCUUUAUAUCUGUAAUAAUCAUCUGUUAGCUACGUGGAGACACCUAUUAGAUGCAUUUUGAGCUGCAUGUCUUCUGCAUGCUGAACAAAUUCAGACACUAGUGUGUGCUCACACAGGGGUGUGUUGGUGGCUGACCACUAGACUUGCUGUGUUCUUCUGUUAUUGCUGAGUGAUUAAUAUGGCACAUUAAAUUCAGUUUAUGUAUGUGUCUCAUGAGGAGGAUUGUAAUCCAAAUUGGUGGUAAAAAUAAAGGCAUCUACACCUUCAGACAUCAUUAGCAUUUGUAGGAAAAUAAGGUCAUGGAUAGUUUUAUAAACAUUUACUCUGAAGCAGCUGCAAUACAUAAAGAACAAAAAGAGGGGGGAUAAAAUGAAAUAUAGUUAGAACAUAGAGACUGGGCAAUAAAUUGUUAGCACGGAAACUUAUUAUUAAAUGCUGCAUGCAGUUCUGGCUACCUGGUCUCAGAAACAGUGGGAUGUACGCAAUAUAAAGGGGCAAAGUACAUCUUCUGUACAAAGACAGACUGAAUCAAAAAGUUGCUUCAUUUUGGAGAAAAA